rnacentral:rRNA from 1 species
UCAAAUUGCGCGGCUACCAUGCAGUCGAGCGGUAGCACAGAGAGCUUGCUCUCGGGUGACGAGCGGCGGACGGGUGAGUAAUGUCUGGGAAACUGCCUGAUGGAGGGGGAUAACUACUGGAAACGGUAGCUAAUACCGCAUAACGUCGCAAGACCAAAGUGGGGGACCUUCGGGCCUCAUGCCAUCAGAUGUGCCCAGAUGGGAUUAGCUGGUAGGUGGGGUAACGGCUCACCUAGGCGACGAUCCCUAGCUGGUCUGAGAGGAUGACCAGCCACACUGGAACUGAGACACGGUCCAGACUCCUACGGGAGGCAGCAGUGGGGAAUAUUGCACAAUGGGCGCAAGCCUGAUGCAGCCAUGCCGCGUGUGUGAAGAAGGCCUUCGGGUUGUAAAGCACUUUCAGCGGGGAGGAAGGCGGUGAGGUUAAUAACCUCAUCGAUUGACGUUACCCGCAGAAGAAGCACCGGCUAACUCCGUGCCAGCAGCGGCGGUAAUAA